AGCGCUGGAUCACCGCCGCAGCCAACUCCUGCUGCUCCUUCAACCUCCGGCCCUAAGGGAAGAGAGUGGGGCCUCAGCUCAGGAGUCUGAGCCGGCUGAAGCUCUCUGGGAGUCUCCCUCCCUCAAGACCGACUUAUCCGAGGCUCCAGGCCCUGACCUUGUACUUGCGGAAGGCUGUCUGGAUGACCCGCGCCGCCUCAUACAGUUCCCGUUGCUCGUGGUCUGAAAGUGUCAGCAGAGCAAAGUCGCUUUCCAUCUUGCCGCUGGUGGACGCGGAGAGGAACUCUGCCCAGGAAGGUGCUGGCGGGGCAGCAGGGCGGCCUCCCUCAAAGGGCAGUUCACUGUGGGGUAAGGAGGAAGAUGUCAGGAGGCAUCUAAGCCCCUCUCAUCUCAGCUAGAGGACCAUCUUCAGCAUCAGAGUCUGCAGAGAUGCUCCAGAGCUCAUCAGCCUGCUCAGGUCCUUAUUACCUACCCCAGGACCUCAGCCAGAAUGGUGCUUUGGCUGUUAGGAGGUGUCCUCCCUCCCAUCUUUCCCUGAAAAAGUGUAGAGGCUUUGUUCUGAGCUGUCACCUAGCAGGGGCCGAGCUGGGGAAAUGGUCCACAUUCUCCAGGUAACUGGCUAGCCAGGACAUGGUCUCACUGAGCCCCACGGCGCCUGUCUGCUCCCUGGCUGAGGCUCCAGCUUCCGGUGACUCUGAGAAGUCAUCGCGUUUAAUCCGCUCUGGUGUGGCUUCGAUGAUCUGCUUGGCUAGCGAGAUCAUGUCCACCUGGACAGAUGGAGACAGUGCAUAAACUCUGAGGCUCUGACCAGCAAUGCUCCCGCCCAGCCUAAGCUGUAGCCUUGCACCCCAUUUUCUGAUCUUCUAGUUCUUCUGUUUACUGAUGGACCUAAAGUCCUCAUUCCUACUGACUUCCUGAGAGCCAGGCCUCUGCACUCUUCUCUUGUGAGACACAAGACAUGAAGGACAAAUAUCUUAGCACCCUUCUGAUGGCCCACUCUCCACUUGGACCUGCUCUGGCCAACAUAUAUCUCCAGAGACCUAGCCCAAGCGUGUCACCCCACUGGCUUCCGGUCUGCAAGCCUGGGGCUUACUGGCCACACAGUGCUGGUGGCUAGUCGCUGAAAGGCCUGCAGCACUUGGCCGCCCUCCAUGGUGCUGCUCCUGUAGAGGCGGUUUCUUCGUUUGUUCGAGAGAGCAUCUCACUAUGUAGUCCCGGCUGGCCUGCAGCUAUGUAGACCAGGCUGGCUUGAAACUCACUAUGUAGGCCAGGCUAGCCUGGAACUGAGGGUUCCUGCUGCCCCUGUCUCCUGAAACAGAGUUCUUGAUUUUUUGUGUUUGCUCCUUCCUAAAGCAGGUAUGUCCACAGGUCCUAGCACUUGGCUCUACUUGAAGAUUGGUUCUUUUCAUUCAUUACAUAAUUCCUUCCUUAACUUUUCCCACAGGCGAGCUUUCUUCCUACUCCAGGUCAUUGUCAAGUGUUUCUGUCUCGCUAAUGUCUACUCAGACACCCUUCCCAGCUGCCUUCCAUGCCUAGUUUCUUCAGAACCUUUUCUUUCAGCUCAGCCUAGAGGCACACGCUUUUUUUUGUUUUUGUUUUUGAGACAACGUUUCUCUGUGUAGCCCUGGCUGUCCUGGAACUUGCUCUGUAGACCAGGCUGGCCUCGAAUCCACAGAGAUCUGCCUGCCACUGCAUCCUGAGCGCUGGGAUUAAAGCCACCAGGACCAGCUGCAGCCCACACCUUUAAACUCAGCACUUGGAAGGCUGAGUCAAGUGGAUGCCUCUCUGGGUUCAAGGCUAGCCUGGUCUCUGAGUUCCAGGACAGCCAGGGCUACAUGGCGAGACCCUGUCCUGAAAAAAAAAUAAAACAAGAAGAACCUUUCCCUUCAUUGUCAAUAGGUAAUUAGAACAGUACAGUUCUAAGUGAAGAUCCCCGUAGAGUUCUUAACUUCUCCUACCUAAUUCCUGCUGAAUCAUAAAGUCUGAAAGGGCUUAGUCAGGGGUCCUGGGCCUAUACCCAAAGAGGAAAUGGUCUUCCUUCUGGAACUGGAGCCCAGCUGAUUGUGCUUCUGGGGAUGUGUGUCCCCCCAGCUCUGCCCCAUCCCUAGCCUUGUGAGUCCAAACCCAUCCCUGGGAGCAGUACCGGGAUCACAUCCGCAGCUGCCGGGCUCUCGUCCUCUGGAGCAGCCCCACCGGCCUGGGGUGGGGGGAGGCCGGGAGGAGACUCUUUGGAGCCAGCUGCCUCAUAGUCCAUGAGGAGUGAGGGCGUCUCUGGGGGACCUGGGAUCACCUCCAUAGUCAUCUCGGAGGCCAGCAGGGGAGCAGGGGGAGGGCUGCCGUCUGCCACACUUGAGUAGGCUGAGGUCACAGAGAAGGUGCCAUCUGACAGCUCUGAGGGUGAGGAGACUCCGCUCAGACCUGUGAGGAGGGCAAACCAGGUAAGGACAGCGACAGCGGGAGCUGCAGGCCACCUUCCGGCCUCUCAGCUCAGCUCAGUUCCCUGCAUGGUCUUUUUUAAGGUUUAUAUUCUAUAUGUAUGAGUUUUUCCCCAACUGUAUGUAGGUGGAACUAGAGUUACAGGCCGCUGUGAGCUACCAUGUGGGUCCUCGGGAAGAGCAGCCAAUCUCUCAGCCAUCACUCCAGUGCCUUCUCCCACCCGUUAGCUUUGCUGUAGACACUUUUUAAGGAUCUGCCUCUAGAAGGACCCAAGGCCAGCUCUCACCAGUGUCCGGGCUGGAGGAGGGUGGAGAUAGAGCAAGCGGGUGCUCAACUGAAAGCUCCUGUCUCUGCAGUUCCUCAAGGCAGCGGGCAAGGCGCACGUGACCCCGAGAAUGUGCCACAGAGAGGGGCAGACGGCCUAGAGAGUCAGGGAUGCUCAGCGCUUGUCGGUUCCAACAGAAAAGGAGCACAGCAGCCUCCAAGUGUCCCAGAGCGCAAGCCCACAUCUGAGGGAGGAAGCGGAAGCGACCCUGAUCAUGCCAAGCAGGGAGCCAGGUUCUCAUCUUCCAGUGCCUCACGGUCAGUGGCCGCCCAGCGCCCCAGCCCUGGUAGCCCUGCUCACCGCCACUGGCUCAGAGUUUGAAUGAGUCGAGCGUAGCCCUGGGCAGCAGCCAGAUGCAGAAGGCUCAUGCCCCGGAAGGGGCUUCCGUGGAGCAGACGUUCAGGACCCCUCCACGUGGAGCGUGGGAUCAUGCUCUCCACCAAGACCACCACGCGUGCCUCAAAGCCAGGGCCCUGGCCUUCAUCCUGCAGGACACACCGUGUGCACACACUUGGGCAUCUGUCCUGCAGGACAUCUCCCCAGCUUCAGCUUUUAGCACACUGGCUCAUUUCCCAUUGCAGCUCCCGCCACCGCCGCUCACUGCUGCUUGGUUGAGCCCCUCUGCAGCCUCAGGGUACUUGGAGCUCUUCUGGAGCUGGCCGGCAUGCCGGCUCUGCCUGGUGCCGUGGCCACGUUUGUCUCCCUUCUCCUACCCUCCCCCAGCCCUCUUCCUAAAGAGACUCUGAACCCACAGGCCCAGUAUUCCUGAUCACCCCCCACCCUCACCUUCACCCCACCUUCAGAUCAGAAAUAGUGUGAAGCCUGUCAUGCUGUAAGGGAGCCCAGAAGAGCCACUCUUGCCACAGCGGCCGCAGUGGGGUGGACAGCAAAGCGACAGCAGGAAGAGGGGUGGGUGAGUGAGGACAGGCAUAGGAGAACCACUCUCCUGGGGACCCCAUGUCCCCACAUGAGACCGUGGUCUCUGUUAGAAGUACCUGAAUGGGAGGGACCUCCGGACCCUGGCCAGGCGCCUGCCCGGCAGCUGCGAUUUCUGCCAUCCGCUUCUCCAUCUGCUCCAGCCGCUCCAGGAUGGACAUCCGGAACUGGCUGUCUGUGGGUGGGCACGGGAGCUGAGUGGACGGUGUGGGGAUGCUAAGAACACUAUUAGUGGUUGUCCCCAAGAUCUGGGCGUGAAGAGUGGGACAGCAGAGCUUGCUCUUCCCCUCGCCCACUCAGCUACAUACACCUCAGCAGGAGACCCAGCCCUUAGUCUCACCCAUAGACGAGAACCAGGAUUAAGAACCAAGGCUGGCCAGGUGGUAGUGGCACAGCCGUUUAAUUCCAGUGCUUGGGAGGCAGAUCUUUGAGUUCAAGGCCAGCCUGGUCUACAGAGUGAGUUCCAGGACAAGCAGGGCUACACAGAGAAACCCUGUCUCAAAAAACCAAGCCAAAAAAAAUAAAAAAAAAAGGAUGAAGAACCAAGGCUGUUUCCUCUAAGACAGAGGUGGCAGGAAUUCCCCAGUGCCCAUCUGUUUCUCAGCUACCCAAGCCAAAAA